GGCGAGGUGAGUCUCAGAAAUAAUCUCAACUUAACUAAAUAAAUAUGGAUUUUUUUCCCCUCAUGUUUGGUCUGAUACAAGUGACUGAAUAGCACUAGAAAGCUUUGUAACAGCCACAACAAGAUUGGCCAUUCCUUCACGAUUCACUUCAUUUCUUGUCUCUUCAAGCUGAAGCCUACGUUGCUCGAACUCCAUCAGUUCUUGAUGUCGCUUGUCUUUAUUCUCUUCGCAGUUUCUGAUUGUUUGG
rnacentral:misc_RNA from 1 species